GACGAACGCUGGCGGCGUGCUUAACACAUGCAAGUCGAACGGAAAGGCCCUGCUUUUGUGGGGUGCUCGAGUGGCGAACGGGUGAGUAACACGUGAGUAACCUGCCCUUGACUUUGGGAUAACUUCAGGAAACUGGGGCUAAUACCGGAUAGGAGCUCCUGCUGCAUGGUGGGGGUUGGAAAGUUUCGGCGGUUGGGGAUGGACUCGCGGCUUAUCAGCUUGUUGGUGGGGUAGUGGCUUACCAAGGCUUUGACGGGUAGCCGGCCUGAGAGGGUGACCGGCGAGAUUGGGAAAGAGACCGAGCGAGGCCUCCAACUGGAGGCAGACGGGGUGAAGAUUGAACACGGGGCUGAAGGCGAUUGCAGCAACUCGGCGUGCGGGAGGAGGGCCUGCGGGUGGUAGCCCGCUUUCGCCGGUGACGAAGCGGGGGGGAAGGGAAUGGGAUAAGAAGAACCGGCUAACUACGUG
rnacentral:rRNA from 1 species